GACAAUUUUUUUAUUUUCUGAAAUGGUAACAUAAUAAUUGUCCACAAUUAUAGAGAAUGGAGGAGAAUUUUAUAGGACCUAUUGCUUGGAUCACUAUACAUGCUAAGAAAAUACAUAAAUACUCCCAAUUCACAUUAUUUCGUAUUUAUUACUGCUUGUUUCUGUAUUUUCUUUUUUAAAACUACUUGGAAAUGCUUUUUUUUAAGCCGAGGGUCUAGCGGACACAGUCUCUCUAGCUCUAACGAGGUAGGACACUCUACCCUCCCUAGACCUUACGUGGGAUUUCAUUGGGCUUGUUUAUGUUGUUCUUUCUUUAGGUAGGAAUUCUCCCAAUCAUUAGUAUA
rnacentral:misc_RNA from 1 species